AUUGAACGCUGGCGGCAGGCCUAACACAUGCAAGUCGAGCGGAUGACGGGAGCUUGCUCCUUGAUUCAGCGGCGGACGGGUGAGUAAUGCCUAGGAAUCUGCCUGGUAGUGGGGGACGACGUUUCGAAGGGAACGCUAAUACCGCAUACGUCCUACGGGAGAAAGCAGGGGACCGUCGGGCCUGGCGCUAUCAGAUGAGCCUCGGUCGGAUUAGCUAGUUGGUGGGGUAAUGGCUAACCAAGGCGACGAUCCGUAACUGGUCUGAGAGGAUGAUCAGUCACACUGGAACUGAGACACGGUCCAGACUCCUACGGGAGGCAGCAGUGGGGAAUAUUGGACAAUGGGCGAAAGCCUGAUCCAGCCAUGCCGCGUGUGUGAAGAAGGUCUUCGGAUUGUAAAGCACUUUAAGUUGGGAGGAAGGGCAGUAAGUUAAUACCUUGCUGUUUUGACGUUACCGACAGAAUAAGCACCGGCUAACUCUGUGCCAGCCGCCGCAGUAACUC
rnacentral:rRNA from 1 species